UUCGGGAGGCAGCAGUGAGGAAUAUUGGUCAAUGGACGAGAGUCUGAACCAGCCAAGUAGCGUGCAGGAUGACUGCCCUAUGGGUUGUAAACUGCUUUUAUGCGGGAAUAAAGUCAGGUACGUGUACCUGUUUGUAUGUACCGCAUGAAUAAGGACCGGCUAAUUCCGUGCCAGCAGCCGCGGUAAU
rnacentral:rRNA from 1 species